UACGGAGGGUGCAAGCGUUGUUCGGAAUUACUGGGCGUAAAGCGGGUGUAGGCGGUCGGGCAAGUCGAAUGUGAAAGCCCUCGGCUCAACCGAGGAAGUGCAUCCGAAACUGCUUGACUUGAGUAUGAGAGAGGAAGGCGGAAUUCCCGGUGUAGCGGUGACAUGCGUAGAUAUCGGGAGGAACACCGGUGGCGAAGGCGGCCUUCUGGCUCAAUACUGACGCUGAGACCCGAAAGCGUGGGGAGCAAACAGGAUUAGAUACCCGCGUA
rnacentral:rRNA from 1 species